CCUACGGGAGGCAGCAGUAGGGAAUAUUGCUCAAUGGGGGAAACCCUGAAGCAGCAACGCCGCGUGGAGGAUGAAGGUUUUAGGAUUGUAAACCCCUUUUGUGAGAGAAGAAAAUGACGGUAUCUCUCGAAUAAGCACCGGCUAACUCCGUGCCAGCAGCCGCGGUACUACGGAGGGUGCAAGCGUUACACGGAAUCACUGGGCGUAAAGAGUGCGCAGGCGGGCUUGUAAGUCAGAUGUGAAAUCCUGUAGCUUAACUAUAGAACUGCAUUUGAAACUAUGAGUCUAGAGUGUGGGAGAGGUAGGUGGAAUUCUUGGUGUAGGGGUAAAAUGCGUAGAUAUCAAGAGGAAUACUCAUUGCGAAGGCGACCUACUGGAACAUUACUGACGCUGAGGCACGAAGGCGUGGGGAGCGAACAGGAUUAGAUACCCUAGUAGUC
rnacentral:rRNA from 1 species